rnacentral:rRNA from 1 species
AGAGUUUGAUCCUGGCUCAGGAUAAACGCUGGCGGCGUGCCUAACACAUGCAAGUCGAACGCCCUACUUCGGUAGGGAGUGGCGGACGGGUGAGGAACACGUGGGUCAUCUACCUUGAGGUGAGGAAUACCGGCGAGAAAUCGCCGACAAUACCGCAUAGGUUUGGAAACAAACAAAGCCCAGGGCUUACCUGGGUGCCU